rnacentral:rRNA from 1 species
UGGGGUAAACGGACAGAGCCUGUGAAUCCGGGCGGCAGAAUUCAACGUCGAUGGCGAUUUCGGUCGUCGUUGGCGUGAUAUUUCUGUCGCCGUUUUACGGACGUUGCGACCCGUUUGGUGUCAGUCUUACGAGGCAUACGUACGUUCGUCGACGCGGUUGACUUUGUCAGCUCGCGUUACGAGGGUGUGUUCUCCGGCUGACUCGCCAGACGGUACGAAAUGGUGUCUGUGACGGCAUUCGCGUGUCGUCACAGUGCCGGUCUGCAACGAAUCUUC